UACGGGGGGGGCAAGCGUUGUUCGGAAUUACUGGGCGUAAAGGGCUUGUAGGUGGCCAACUAAGUCAGACGUGAAAUCCCUCGGCUUAACCGGGGAACUGCGUCUGAUACUGGAUGGCUUGAGUGUGGGAGAGGGAUGCGGAAUUCCAGGUGUAGCGGUGAAAUGCGUAGAUAUCUGGAGGAACACCGGUGGCGAAGGCGGCAUCCUGGACCAUUACUGACGCUGAGGAGCGAAAGCGUGGGGAGCGAACAGG
rnacentral:rRNA from 1 species